rnacentral:rRNA from 1 species
CAGCCGCCGCGGUAAGACAGAGGAUGCAAGCGUUAUCCGGAAUGAUUGGGCGUAAAGCGUGCGCAGGCGGUUCGUUAAGACAGAUGUGAAAUCCCCGGGCUUAGCCUGGGAACUGCAUUUGUGACUGGCGAGCUAGAGUAUGGCAGAGGGGGGUAGAAUUCCACGUGUAGCAGUGAAAUGCGUAGAGAUGUGGAGGAAUACCGAUGGCGAAAGCAGCCCCCUGGGUCAAUACUGACGCUCAUGCACGAAAGCGUGGGGAGCAAACAGGAUUAGAUACCCCCGUAGUCCCUGUCUCUUAUAC